rnacentral:rRNA from 1 species
GUGGGGAAUAUUGGACAAUGGGCGCAAGCCUGAUCCAGCAAUGCCGCGUGGGUGAAGAAGGUCUUCGGAUCGUAAAGCCCUUUCGACAGGGACGAUGAUGACGGUACCUGUAGAAGAAGCCCCGGCUAACUUCGUGCCAGCAGCCGCGGUAAUACGAAGGGGGCUAGCGUUACUCGGAAUUACUGGGCGUAAAGGGCGCGUAGGCGGCUCUGUUAGUCAGGCGUGAAAUUCCUGGGCUUAACCUGGGGACUGCGCUUGAUACUGCAGGGCUUGAGGCCGAGAGAGGGUGGUGGAAGUCCCAGUGUAGAGGUGAAAUUCGUAGAUAUUGGGAAGAACACCGGUGGCGAAGGCGACCACCUGGCUCGGUUCUGACGCUGAGGCGCGACAGCGUGGGGAGCAAACAGGAUUAGAUACCCUGGUAGUCC